AUAAAUACAUUUCCAGUAAGAUGCAAUAAGCCAAACUGAUCUGUAUGUAAUAUUAAAAGGGGAAACGAAAGAGUGAGUCUGCGAGGCCAUCGCUGCAAGUUGAUUAGAUGUGCAGUGAAAAACUGCUCGCUCUCUCUCUCUCUCUCUCUCUCUCUCUCUCUCUCUCUCUCUCUCUCUCUCUCUGUGGGAGCAGGGUAAAUCCUUUAUCAGGGUCUGACACCGGCGUAGCCUGCAGCUACUGCUCGCCUGGAGCGAGGUGCUAUAGACGAGUAAACGGGAUCCCAUCAUCAAACUUCAUAAUAACGCGCCCUGCGCCGCAGCUGCGGUGCGACCCUUUCUGAUGGAACAGAUAGCAGCGAGAUGAAAUACUGUUCUUCUUUGAUCUGUUUACAUUCAUCACAAGAAAGCAGACAGAAACAGACAGGAAUGGGUGUGAUCAACUAAGCGAGACUCACUGCUCCCGGUUAGGACACAUGAAACGUUGAACAAAUUCGGAAUAAUCCUAAAAGUGUUAACAGCAACACAGUGUAAAUCAGGUCGUAAAGGUGCAAUUCUACGCUGCCACCACUGAAAGCAUCCACACGUGAGCAGUUACCGCUGGUGUUGGUGCAGCAUUUUGAGGCGAAAGAGGAAAUUCCACCGCACCGUCAGAACGGCUGAGAACAUAAUUUGCUGCAGUCUGCUUUCACUAUACAACCUGUAUAUCUCUUGGUGUUUUUGACCAAGCUGUGAGACGGAGAACACUAAAAAAUUCUAAUACAUGUCAGUGUACUGUAUAUGGCGAAUAAAUGUAAUCCUAUUUUCUUUUUAAACACAAUGACACAGUUAGCAAAAAUAUCUCGUUUUCUGUUAUACAAUUGUUGUAUGAUCUGUUUAUAAUUGGCGUGCCACACUGUACAAAACUCGUUGCUAAUUGUUGCCGAUUAGCAUUAGUUUUUUUACAUGCACAAUAUACAUUUAUUAGUUAUCUAAAUAUAACAAU